rnacentral:lncRNA from 1 species
UCAUGUGGCCUUUAGUAAGAAGCGUCCACUCUCAUUGUGUUUUAUUUACCAGCUUGCUUUUAAAGAGCCAGGACCAGUCCACUAGCUGUGCAGAGUGCUGACCUCUUGGAUGAGAGCCCUGACCUCAUAGGAUAUCUGAGCUUGUCAUAAUUCAGGUGGGUUCUGUAGGGAAGCAGGGGCUCGUGGGGAGUGGGAGGAAGCUGGGGAGAAGAUGAGUUGAGAGCAGUCCAGUGUGAGGGAAAGUGGGGAUCCUGGGCCAACUUACCAUUAAGAGGGUCCAGUCCUGUGACUGCUGUGAAGUAACCAGGAUUCCACAUAGAGAUGGGGCUCAAAGUCAGCCCAGGAGCAGCACUGUGGUCCCAGAACUAAUAUUUGGCGACUCCAAGGCCAGGGAUAAAAAUGAAGAGAUGGAGAGACAAGAUUUCCUGGCCUCUAAUUGGCAGCACCCGUUGACUCUGCUCGUGACCAGACUCAUGAACGCUUCAUCCAAGGUUUCAUGUCAUCCGUGUGAGGAACCUCUCUGAUUUGAGAAAAUCUUUCUUAAAAUGGGCUUCUAGUUGUAAAGCCAUUGUCUUUUUAGGAAAUCAUCAAAUACCUUAAAGCUAGACACGCAAUCAGCUGCAUAAAUGACACACUCACUAAAUCAAUCCUUUAUCAGAUGCAGCAUGGCCCUGUUGUGAACGGAAUGAUUGUGAACGGAAUGAUGGCCAAGGAGCUUUAUGCUUCUGCACCGCCAGCUCACACGAUGGUCCGUGUAUUGCCCCGUGGAAAACCGGGGGUGGAAAGCUGUCUCCACGUUCUGCUGCCGAAGCAGCAAGCUGAUUCACACAUCUUGAAGGCACAGUGGAACAUGGAAGGGUGCAUAUGAGACUUGAUUUUGAGGAUGAAACUUCCUGUCUGAAUCGCUAAGUCUCCCAGCAGGGGUGUUAAUGUCCCUGUGAGAUGCAGGCUUCCCACAGACACACCCAGGUUGCGAGUGGGUUCAACAUGGUCACAGGAGCUUCAAAUGGUGAUCCUGAUGCUCAUGGCCAUGCAUUGAGAACAACUGUGUAAGAAGAUAUGGAUAAUGCUUGAAAACUACUAGUAUUAGCACCAUUUUGCAUAUACUCCAAGGAAGAUCUCAAUAAAUGCUUAAUGGAAAUAAGUAAAGGUAUGAAUGCUGGACCUAAUACAGGAGGAAGACCCAGGUGAUUUGUGUACAAUUUGGACACAAGCUCUUGCCAACCACCUGAGAGAUUCCAACAAUGAGAUGAGAUUCCUUACCUUGAACCAGAUAAUUUGGAAUGAAUGUCUAGGCAGAACUUCUGCUUCAGAAUGACCACAAUUAACUACCAGACAACCAACUUUGGGGACAUAUCAGUAGGUGCAGAGCAUUUAGAACUGGAAGGACCAUUUGAAAUACAUAGUUCAUCUCUCUCAUGUUACUGAGGAGGAAAACUGAAGUGCACGGAGGUAAAGUAACUCGCCCAGUAUCACAAUUUGUGUUUGUACCAUUGCUGAGGUGAGCACCUGGGCCUUCUAACCCCAAAUUAAAUUAUUCUCCUAUGUGACAACCUCCUUUAAUGGUUUUUUCUCAUUUAUAUUUAAAAUUUUUAAAGUACCCAAGUAAUAAUACACGUUCAUGGUAGAAAAAGAAAAAAAAUUAGCAAAAUGAGGAAAAUAAAAAUCAGUUUUAAUCCCACCUUCAGAUGCAACUAUUCUCUGUUUUGUAUUUCCUUUCUAGAUAAUAACUAUAACGGAUCAUUAUUAUGAAAUGCUUACUCUGUGCUAGUUAUUAUGGAGUGCUUCUUACAAAAUGCUAGGCAUUUUGUAAACACUCUUCAUGUGUGGAUGCUUUAAUCUUCUGCACAACCCUAUGAUGUAGAUUAUCACCAUCAGUGAUAGGCAGUGUGGCAGGCAGAAUGACAGCCUCCCUGAAAUGUCCACAUACUAAUCCCAGGAACCUGUGAAUGCGUUAUGUUACAUGGCAAAGGAGAAUUAAGAUAGCAGACAAAAUUAAGGUUGGUAAUUGGCUGAUCCUGAAAUAGCAAGAAUAUCCUAGAUUACCCAGGUAGGCCCAACGCAAUCAGAAAGGAAGAGGGAGACACAAGAGGCGGCAUGAGAGUGAUGCGAUGUGAGAAUGAUUCAACCAGCCUUUGCUGGCUUUGAAGGUGGAGGAGGAGGCCAGAGCCAAGGAAUGCGGGAAACCUUUAGAAACUGAAAAACCAAAAAAUGGAUUUCUCCUUUUGGUACUCCAGAAAGGAAUGCACCCCUGCUGACACCUUGACUUUAGCCCAACAUGGUAGACAGAACAAUGGCCCCAAAAUAUCCACAUUCCAAUCCCUGGAAUGUGUGACUGUGUUACCUUACAUGUCAAAAGGAAGUUUACAGAUGUGAUUAAGACUUUUGAGAAGGGGAGAUUAUCUUGGAUUAUCUAGGUGGGCCCAAUGUAAUCAUAAGGAUCUUUAAAAGAAGCAGGCAGGAGGAUGAGAGUCAGAGAGAAGAUGUGAUGACAAAAGCAGGGAAUGGAGUGCUGUGCUUUUAAGACAGAGGAAGGGGCCAAAAGCCAAGGAACACAAGAGGCCUCUAAAAGAGGUAAGGAAACAGAAUCUUCCCUUGAGUCUCUGGAAGAGUAUGGCCCUGUUGACACCUUGAUUUUGGCCCAGCAAAACCUAUUUUGGACUGACCACCAGAACCGUAAGAUAAUAAAUGCAUGUUAUUUUAAGCCACUAAGUUUGUGGGAAUUUCUUACAGCAGCAAUAGGAAACUGGUACACCUAGUUUACAACUUGCUAGGGCCACAGAGUUGGCCAGUGGCAGAGACAGGAUGUGGUUUCAAGCCAUCUGGCUUCAGAGCCCAUAUCUGUUACCAUUAUGACAUAAACAUACAUGGACACAUAGAGAUUUAAAUAGUACAUACAUCUCAAUGAAUGCAAACCUUCCAUAAUAUUUUGAUAGUCAUUCAGCACCACCAUAUUAAAUAGUUGUAGUCCACUCAAUAAAUAUACCACUCCCCAUAUUUUAUAUAAUAAAUCCCUUAUUAUUCAAUACAUACGUUGUUUCUAAUGUUUCAAUAUUGUACUACUGGCAAUGAUAAACAUCUUUCUAGUGCUAUUAAUUAUUUCAUUAGGAAAAACUCUUAAAAUUAGAAACGCCAGGUCAAGUUACCCCUAAGAAAGACUGCAUUGGAAUAUAACGGAAAAUAAAACAUGCAACUGGAAGUCGGAGCAUCUCUGCCUUCUUUUUCUGUAACACCUUUGGUAUUAAGCUAUUUUUCUUAUCCAUGGUACACACUCAAUCGUAUUUUUGUUUUUGAAGGUUUUAGCUAUAACACUAUUUCUUCUGUAGACUCAUAGGUGUUAGAGCAAGAAGGUAUUUAGAGGUGAUUUAGUCUAAUCCUUUAAAUCACAGGUAAAUUCCCUGAGGCCCAGAGUGGUGAACUGACUCACUAAAAGCUCUCCUUACAGGGGUGCUUGGUGAGAACGCACCUUCCUGACUCCAAGGCCAGCUAUCUUUCCACAUCUGCUGCAAAUGUCAUGAGGCUAGCCCCCAAGUUGGGACCAUUAUUAAUUUUUCCCCUCAAGUCAUGCGAAACAUCUCUUGUCCUUUUAAUCAGAAGCAUAUUUUAGGGGCUGCGGAAUAAUAAGCACCCACAUAUCCAGUAUUAAAAGAUAAACUCUGGCCCUUUCCUGGAGUGAGCCUGUUUUCAUUUUAUCAUUGUGAAAUGUGGUAGGAUUGAUGGCAGACAAUAACUCCCCACCUCCCCCAGUAUUUUAUUAAGAUCCGUUCUUACAAAGGAUAACCGGAGGUUUUCCAUCAUCACCUCGUUGUCUUUUUUCUAACUUGGUUCGUCUGCUACCCAACAGUAGUAAGGUUACCUCAUCCUGGAAUCUGAUGUACACAACGGUAUGCAAACUCUUUCCUUCUCUCCGAAGCAAACAAUGAAAUGGGAAAACACUGCCAUUUUCUGACUGACCUCAAUCGCUGAGGGUGGACCCCGCACGUUACAUCAGCAG